UACGUAGGAGACAAACGUUAUCCGGAGUUACUGGGCGUAAAGGGCGUGUAGGUGGUUACGUAAGUCUGGCGUGAAAUUUCUCGGCUUAACCGAGGCAGGUCGUCGGAUACUGCGAGACUAGAGGACGGUAGAGGCGUGUGGAAUUCCGGGUGUAGUGGUGGAAUGCGUAGAGAUCCGGAGGAACACCAGCGGCGAAGGCGGCAUCCUGGACCGAUACUGACGCUGAGGAGCGAAAGGCCAGGGGAGCAAACGGGG
rnacentral:rRNA from 1 species